CUAUUACUGUGCUAUUAGGGAGUUUCGGAUGUGUAUCAUUCGGCGGAGGUAUUCAACCUGAAUUACGCCGAAAUGGAGAGGAGAUUCAAGGUGUAUAUAUAUCCCGACGGAGACCCCAAUACUUUCUACCAGACGCCGAGGAAGUUGACCGGGAAGUACGCGAGCGAGGGAUACUUUUUUCAGAAUAUCAGGGAGUCCGGCUUCCGAACGGAGGAUCCUGAUCGGGCUGAUCUCUUCUUUAUCCCUAUCUCGUGCCACAAGAUGAGAGGGAAGGGCACAUCCUAUGAAAACAUGACAGUUAUUGUCCAAAAUUAUGUGGAGAGCUUAAUAUCCAAGUAUCCUUUCUGGAAUAGAACACUGGGUGCAGAUCAUUUCUUCGUUACUUGUCAUGAUGUUGGUGUAAGGGCAACUGAAGGACUUCCACUUCUUGUAAAGAAUUCGAUUCGAGUAGUGUGCUCCCCAAGCUAUGGUAUUGGAUUUAUUCCACACAAAGAUGUUGCUCUCCCUCAAGUGCUGCAGCCGUUUGCUCUUCCAGCUGGUGGAAAUGAUGUGGAAAACAGGACAACUCUAGGUUUUUGGGCAGGCCAUAGGAACUCCAAAAUCAGAGUUAUACUCGCACGAGUAUGGGAAAAUGAUACCGAACUUGAUAUUGCAAACGACAGAAUAGACAAGGCCGCUGGACCUCUGGUAUACGAAAAUAAAUUUUACAGGACUAAGUUCUGUAUAUGUCCUGGUGGUUCUCAGGUCAACAGUGCCCGAAUAACUGAUUCAAUCCAUUAUGGUUGCGUUCCUGUGAUAUUGUCUAAUUAUUAUGACCUUCCAUUCAAUGACAUUCUCGAUUGGCGAAAAUUUUCUGUCAUACUUGAGGAGAAUGAUGUGUAUCGGCUAAAGCAAAUAUUGAAGGACAUAUCUAACUCGGAAUUUGUUGUUUUGCAAGAGAACGUUGUUAAGGUCCAGAAACACUUCCAGUUGAAUUCACCUCCCGUCAAAUACGAUGCUUUCCAUAUGGUGAUGUACGACCUCUGGUUACGCCACCAUGUGAUCAAAUACUGACUGCAAAUGCAUGUUGAUGUACGACCUCUGGUUACGCCACCAUGUGAUCUAAUACUGACUGCAAAUGCAUGGUGGUGUAUUUCUGCUUCCUGGUUGUUGUGAUCCAUUCAACGAGAAAGCACUUCGAGCUAGCCGAGGUGCCUACUUACAGCUUCCUAUGGUAACCGGCAAUUGGGCUCAUAUCCAGACUCUCACAAAAACAUUCCAUAUGAAGAUUUUGGCAGGCCAUCCCCAGAGUAUGGAUCAGUUGAAGCCAGUGUCUUUGCUUUCUCAAGCGCUUGCAUAUUCUUUUGCCGAAACGCCACUAUGCUUACUGAAGGCAAUGGACUUUCUGAGAAAACGAGGCGGGUAUCUGAGCUCAUAAGCAUUCAAAUGAUCGGAGAAUUUGAGUCUCUCAACGUUUCUGUUGCUGGCGGGAUUUUCCUGUUUCUGCUACAGCCUGUGGAGUGUGGACCAUUGAUAUGUCGGAUUCUGUGUAAAUAGUCAUACAAGAUAUAAGAUAUGGUCUCUUGCUCUAGUAACAUGGUCUGGAGGCUGAUGGACUGGUACAAGUUUGACCUAGUUUUGAGUUGCCAUUUGGGAAAGAUGAUAGUCAAAGAUACACACACACACAGGCUGUAGCGGUCGAAAACAAAAGAGGGCCGCCAGUGCAUGAGGCUCCCCUUACUCUAGCAUCUCGGGAAAUAUAGAUGUACACAGCUUUGUCUCUGCAACUGGAGAGAGUGUUUCUCCGACUUGAACCCGUGACCACCAAGUCACAUUGGGGUAAUCUUAUCGUUUCGCCCGGGCCACCCCUGAAUUAUUGGUGAUGUGAUGCCGAUAAAUUCCCUGAUUCAGGGGAUUACUAUGGGUUUUUUUUUUCCUUCCCUUUUGCGUCUUGAAUUCAUUAACACUAAUAUGUGUUUGGCCUAGAUUACUUUCAUUGUUAAUCAGUAAUAUUGAUCAAAACAAAAAAGGAAGCUCAUCUGUACUUUGGGAUUUUUGCUGUUGGAAAAGCCGUUUUAUUAUUUCCAACUUAGAGAACUGCUCUUUGAAUCUUUGAUAAAUGAUAGUAUUAUGAUGGUACUGAUAACUAAAGAUACAUGAAUGGACGAUAUUUGUUUUACAAAAUGGAGGGUGAAUCUUGAACUUAAACCAUUCACUUUCAAAUGAGUUCUAUUAAACUGUUUUUCCUCUUCACUUUAUUGAGAUUUAUCAGAUCAACGAUUUAAAUUAUUGUUGCGAGCAUAAGAUAUGAUUAGAAAGUAAAAAUGUAGA